AGGCGUUAGCCCUGGAAUGAAUCUUGGUGGUGAAGGAAUGCCAGGAAUGCGACCGAGCACUUAAAUUUAUUGCUAAAUAAAGCCUUAAUGCAAUGUCAGUGAAGAAGUAACACCGGAGCAGUUCAGCUGGUAAUUUCAGCUCUACACUUCUGUGCGUAAUGAGGUGACUUGCCUGGAUGCAGUUUGCCAGUGAGUGCUGUCAGGGGCAGGACAGAGGCUCUCACGAGAUCGUUUCCCACCAGAAGAUAUUGGGGUGCAGGUACUUGGGCAAGCAGCAGCACCAAACAUCUUUACAUGGGAAUAUCUUCACAUCUGUUCAUGGAGACAUGGGAAGCCAUCAAUGCAGGCCUGCCACAGUAGAUUUGAAGAACUCAAAGUGCAUGUUGUCUUAAAAUCCAG